AUUUAGAUAGUUUAAGAAAAAUAUUGAUUUGUGGAAUCAGGGAUAUAUGGUUAUUCUAAAUU
rnacentral:tRNA from 1 species